CUCAAAUUGGUGUGAGUUUCAAAUUGUUCCCUGCCAGCAGCAGAUCAGAGGGAAAAUCUGGUGUCAGACUGGACAUAUUGCUUCUUAAACUGAUCUGCAGUAGCAUUCCAAAGGUUUUCUUCAGGCAAAGAAUCUUAAAGGAAAAUCAAGAAAAGACAAAAGAGAUUGUGAAACUGUACAGAUAUUUCCUUUUGGGGACUGCCCUUCAAGGACCAUCAAGAUGAACAGAAAAAGAUCAG
rnacentral:lncRNA from 11 species